UUCCUUUUGCGGUUUAUAAGCAUGAUGGUUGGAUUUUCAUGUGUGAGAUGUGUCUCCCUCAAAUCUUUUUAUGAAGUAGAUGCAUUGUCUGUCUGACA
ensembl:snoRNA